CAAUCACGGUGUUAACUUUUCGU
rnacentral:siRNA from 1 species